CCACUGGUUAGCAUAACAAAUGAAGCGGAAGUUUGUUUAGUCCAUAAUAGUCAAACACAGAGAGCUCAGAUCUCAAUUGUUGAUAGACUAUCGUUGCUACGGUGACUGCAACCGACCACCUUUGAAACACAACUGAAACGCAACUCACGGCUGCUGCUGACAAGGGCAUUCACAUAUUUAUUCGUAAAACCAUUUUAUUUUUUGGUGGAUGAAAACAUUGUGUCAAUAUGCUAUGUCUAUGUUCGCCUUAUUCACCCGGAACGUUCUAAAGACGUUGAGGGGUACACUUCAGGGGUACAUUCGGCAACGCACCAGCUGUCAUGGCGCCUCACUGUUGUGUGCCCAAAUGUUCGUCCUCAAAGAGAAAAAAAAUCCUACCGUGGACAGACUUUCCACCGUUUCCCCAAAGAGCAGGCACUUCGCCGUGGAUGUAUAAAUCACAUCUAGAGGGGUCCUGGUCCAUAUUUCAAGAUCAACGCUGAGACCAAGGUUUGCUCUGAGCACUUUGAGAAGCAGUGUUUUGUAAAGACCACCCGUGUUAUCACAAAGCUUAUAAAGGAUGCUGUGCCAACUUUCGCCUGGACUUCAGAGAGGCCAAAGAGGAGAAUCAUCAUUCGCAGACCGAGAGAUGAUGACCCAUUCCUGAAGUUGGACGCCAGAAUGCAGGAAGGUGCUGUUUAAGAGCCUAGGCGGUGGAAGAAGCACUUGCAGGUAUGCUACCGACCAGGCUCCUCAACACCAAUCCGAGACGGAAGAUGAAACGGGAUGAAGCAGUUAGAUUGAGGAUAACGUACCUCAACAGUCUUCUUCAGAUUCUCUACAAACACAGUCUGAGUGGUGAUUAGAACAUGCCUGGCAUCCAAGGGUGUGGCCAGUUUGUUAACCCUUAACACUCUACACUUUACAAUUAUAAUUAUUUUACACUGUCUGGACAAGAUGUAGAAUACUACUGAGCGACAGUGAUAUGUCAUGUUCUUAAUACUGUUAUAUCCUGUCAUUACAGACAAGGCGGCCGGAAACUUUGAUGACCUCAAUGACACUGGCUAGGUGAAGGACAUCAACAAAAUGGCAUCAGGUCACCAGACAUC